rnacentral:lncRNA from 1 species
UGGUUUGUUGGAAUUAAGGACAUUGCACAUGGAAUUUGACAUCAGCAUUGGAUGUAUAUUUCAAGCUUUCAAAUUUAUAUCUUCAUAAAAUGCAACUAUUCAUUAUUUAUAUGAAUACUAGACUUUUGAUACAUUAUGUUUUGAUAUUUUGAUACAAUGUAGAGUUUUGAUUCAUUCUGUGUUCAAAUUCCUCGUGGUACCUUUCCCAUGCCGAGUAUGUGAGUCAAAUCGCCCAUGUGAAGGACAUGAUGUUAUUUUUAUAUUAUGUUUUGGGGGGGGGGGGGGGUAUGCUAUUAUUCUCUCCUUGAUGGUCCAAGCAGAAUGUCGACCAUGGAACCAGUGGUGCAUAAACUGUAUAUUAUAAUGAAAGAAACCCAUAUCUUGAACCCAGAAACAACUAAAUCCAAUAUUUUUAAACCAAAAAUUGCAAGAGAAAAUUCGUGAAGAGCCCAUGGCGGUGCCGAAUAAUAGAGUCCUGAAAUCAAGCUCAAGGGAACGAGAUCCGCCAAGGCUUUAAAUAACAAAUAAAGUUUACUAGAGGAUCACAACAAUGGAAAAACACUCCGAUUAGAACUCCUUGGAUGAAAUAGUAGUGAGUAGUCGAUAGGAACCCCUUGGUGAACGACCCCGAGAGGUGUUUAAAGGUGGUGUUGCACUGAUAAGACUGCACACCGCCAUUUUUAAUGAGGAAAGGAUGAAAGGUUGAGCUUUUGUCGCGCGGCUGAGUAUGAAGAGAGAGAACAUAGGAUACAUGUUCUUAAUCAACGUAUUCAUAAUAGAUCAUAAUUAAUAGGAAACUUGUGUUAAUCUAACAAAAAAUAUAGAGGAGUUUUGAAGAAUCCUAAUCAUCGUUAAACAUCUAAUCAAACAAACUAAACAUAUUUGUCUAAUCAAUAAAAACUUGCAAACAUCCUUAAAUUUAUAGUCUUUAAUAAUAAGUUUUGUAAAUUUUAUAGUAGAAAACAACAAUCAAUAUGGAGACGAUACACUUACUAAUUUAUUACUUGAAACAAUUUGGUGCACUUAUCAAAUUUCUCAUCAAGUAACAUUGUUUCUCCUUGUGUCUGCAAAAGAAAACCAAAAUUUUUUUUUAUAUUAUUUUUUAAAACUACUUCUUGAUAGAAGUGGGGGUCACAUUUUCGAACAACAUUAUAAUUUAACCUCCCACUAAGGUUAAAAAGUUAUCCGACCUUUUUCCUAAGGUAAAAACAUUUUUAUACCAUCACAAAAG